rnacentral:miRNA from 1 species
CAGGGUUAUUGGUUUUGUGUGG